GGGAACAGCUUGUUUAUUAUUUUAUAUUAAAAAUAUAUUUAUAUUAAAAAUAUAUUUUAUAUUAAAAAAAGUAUUUAUAUUAAAAAAUUAUUUAUAUAUAUUAAAAAUUAUUUAUAUAUAUUAAAAAUUAUAUUAAGUAUUUCUUUUAAAUUAUUAACGAAGGUAUAUAAUAGAAGAAAAAUAAAAAGAAAAGGUAAAAACAAUUAAAAAGAAAAAGAAAACAAAAAAUAGAGAAGAGUAAGGAGUAAGUGGCGAGUAACCCUAGUCUGCUACAUCCUACAAUCAUCUUUCUCACUCCCUUCUCAGUUCUCACUCCCUUCUCUGCGGCGCGGCGCCAUUGAUAACCCUUGAAGGCUCGGCUAUGACGGCCGACGACACUAGUCCACCACUACUACGAGCGGCGGUGUAGAAAAAAGCACCAAAAAAAGGGGAAAAAGCACCUGAAGAAGAGAAGGUGUGAGAGCACCUGGACAGAAAUACGGAAUCACAAAACACUUAAUAAGUUACCCAUAUCUACAAAAUGCAUCUAUUUUUUUAUGUGGUCGCUGUUUUUAUUGAUUUUUUUUUGUUAUGUUAUUGUUAGAUAUGUCUAGUAGUACACAAUAAAUAUCAUCAACACCUCAUGGCUUAACUACUUCUCCAUUCAUAGUAGAAGAGUUUUAUGUCAAUGACGAUGAUCGUGUGCCAUAUGUGAAUUUGGAAAAUAAGGAAGAAGAAAGUGAACUACCCCUUUCAAAUGCAAUUGGAAAUGAGUCGGAGCCUCAAAAUGAAACUCAACCAUCCAAGAGAAAGAGAGCAAAAGUAUCUGAGAUUUGGAAAGACAUGGAAUCGGUUAAAAAUAUGAAAACCAAGUGUAAGCAUUGUCAUCAAGUGUUAAGUGCUUCAGGUAUAACUACUCACUUAAAGUACCAUCUUGAAAGUUGUUUGAAAAAAAAAAUGAAUCAAAGACAACAAAAUAUGCAUAAUUUUUUGCCUACGAAUCUCAAUGACGGUGAUCCUAGUUUUAAGUUUUUUAGCGCUUUACAUGAUGGAAAGUUUGAUAUGAUGGUAAUGAGGGAAGGGAAUGCACAUUGGAUUUUGAUGCAUGAACAUGCUUUUUCCAUUGUUGAAGAAGAAGGGUUUAAUUUAAUGUUAAAAAGGGGAAUUCCACAAUGGACUAGUGUGUCACGUCACACUAUAAGAACCGAUUCUUUUAAAGUUUUAUGAGGUGGAAAAAAAGAAAUUGAAGAAUUUGCUAAAAAGUGUGGAGAAAAUUUCUCUGACUACUGAUUUAUGGCGUUCGAAACCUCAAAAAAUUGAGUAUAUGGUUCUUACAGCUCACUUUGUUGAAAAUUUUUGAAGUUGCAAAAGCGAGUUCUCAACUUUUUCCACAUUCCUCCUCCUCGAAAAGGCAAGGACAUAGCCAAUUGUCUUUUUAAAUGUCUAAAGGAGUGGGAUAUUGAGAGCAAAGUUUUCACGGUUUCGGUGGAUAAUGUUUCGGCAAAUGAUUCUUGCAUAAGUAUUAUGAAAGAUACUUUCUCACUAACAAAGAGGUUGAUUUGUGGUUGGAAAUUGUUCCACGUCCGUUGUUGUGCACACAUUUUGAACAUUAUGGUUCAACAUGGCCUUAAGCAAGUUAAAAUCAUUGUUAAAAAUGUGCAUGACACUGUUGAUUAUCUUAAUGGAAGUGAACAUCGUUUAAAGAAGUUUGCUGAGAUUGUCCAACAAUUCAACUUGAAAGAAAGAAGAUUGAUUCUUGAAUGCAAGACAAGAUGGAAUUCAACUUUUGAUGUGUUAGUUUGUGCUCUCGAGUUUAAAGAGGUAUUUUCUAGACUUGCUUUAGAAGAUAGUGAUUAUGUUUUUUGUGCAAGUGUUGAUGAUUGGGAUAAAAUUGAGAAAUUGGUUGAGAUCUUGGAAGUAUUUUAUGAAGCUACUAUGAUUAUUCCGGGAUUGGAGUACCCAACUUCUAAUUUGUUUCUUGGGGAGGUUUAUAGAGUCAAAAGGAUGUUGGAUAGUAAGUGUGAUUCUAGUGAUGUCUUUGUCAAAGAAAUGGUGAAAAACAUGAAAGAAAGGUUUGAUAAGUAUUGGGGUGAAUGUAAUUUGUUGAUGUCUAUAGCUGUUGUGUUGGACCCUCAAAUUAUAUUGCAAAGUCUUGAAAUAGUUUUCCCAACAAUGUUUUCGGCCGAUGUUGCUAGGGAGAACAUUCAUAUAGUUAAAUCAACUUUGUAAGUAUGAGCUUUAUGAUGAAUAUGUUCAUUUGUAUUCUUCUUCAACUACUCCUCAAUGUGGAAGUACAACUAGUGCUAGUGAUGGUGUUGGUGUUAGUAUUGGUGGUGGAAAGAGGAAAACAGGAAUGUUUGAGCUAAUACAAGUUGCAAGGUCUCAAGACAUACCCGAGGUUCGGAAAUCAGAAAUUGAGUCAUAUCUUGAGCAAUUGUGCUUUGUUGCGGAGUUUGAGGAUCAUGGUGUUUCGUAUGACAUCUUGGGAUGGUAGAAAGAUAGAACUAGCGAAUUUCCUAUUUCAUCUAGAUUGGCAGCUGAUAUUUUGGCCGUUCCCAUUACUACCGUAGCAUCUGAGGCUACAUUUAGUGCCGGUAGUUGAGUGAUUGACUUUUAUAGGUCUUCCUUGAGUCCUGAAACCGUACAAAUGUUUAUUUGCACCGGUGAUUGGUGUAGAUCACUUCAUGGGGUGAAGAGAAAAAAUAAGGACAAGGCGGAACAACCUAAGGAAAUUAUUAUUCCUAUCGAAUAGCAUGGAGCGGGCAUUGGAGGCUUUGGAGCAUAUGGCAACUUACAAGAAUAACAUAUUGUAUUUGUGUUGGUUGUUAUAUUUUUGUUGUUGAACUUUUGUAUUGUUGUGAAACUUUUGUAUUGUUUGUAAUAUGCGAAACUUUUGUAUCGUUUUAUUGGAAUCGUCAAAGAUGAUAGAAUCAUUGACUCGCUUUAUACA